AUCUGCCCUGCACUCUGGGACAAGCCCUGGAAACGGGGUCUAAUACCGGAUAUGACACACGACCGCAUGGUCUGUGUGUGGAAAGCUCCGGCGGUGCAGGAUGAGCCCGCGGCCUAUCAGCUUGUUGGUGGGGUAAUGGCCUACCAAGGCGACGACGGGUAGCCGGCCUGAGAGGGCGACCGGCCACACUGGGACUGAGACACGGCCCAGACUCCUACGGGAGGCAGCAGUGGGGAAUAUUGCACAAUGGGCGAAAGCCUGAUGCAGCGACGCCGCGUGAGGGAUGACGGCCUUCGGGUUGUAAACCUCUUUCAGCAGGGAAGAAGCGCAAGUGACGGUACCUGCAGAAGAAGCGCCGGCUAACUACGUGCCAGCAGCCGCGGUAAUACGUAGGGCGCAAGCGUUGUCCGGAAUUAUUGGGCGUAAAGAGCUCGUAGGCGGCUUGUCGCGUCGGAUGUGAAAGCCCGGGGCUUAACCCCGGGUCUGCAUUCGAUACGGGCAGGCUAGAGUUCGGUAGGGGAGAUCGGAAUUC
rnacentral:rRNA from 1 species